rnacentral:rRNA from 1 species
AAAUCCCCCAAAUCCCCUUGAGUUGAUAUGGCUCAGAGCGAACGCUGGCGGCAGGCUUACACAUGCAAGUCGAGCGGGCGUAGCAAUACGUCAGCGGCAGACGGGUGAGUAACGCGUGGGAACGUACCUUUUGGUUCGGAACAACACAGGGAAACUUGUGCUAAUACCGGAUAAGCCCUUACGGGGAAAGAUUUAUCGCCGAAAGAUCGGCCCGCGUCUGAUUAGCUAGUUGGUGAGGUAACGGCUCACCAAGGCGACGAUCAGUAGCUGGUCUGAGAGGAUGAUCAGCCACAUUGGGACUGAGACACGGCCCAAACUCCUACGGGAGGCAGCAGUGGGGAAUAUUGGACAAUGGGCGCAAGCCUGAUCCAGCCAUGCCGCGUGAGUGAUGAAGGCCCUAGGGUUGUAAAGCUCUUUUGUGCGGGAAGAUAAUGACGGUACCGCAAGAAUAAGCCCCGGCUAACUUCGUGCCAGCAGCCGCGGUAAUACGAAGGGGGCUAGCGUUGCUCGGAAUCACUGGGCGUAAAGGGUGCGUAGGCGGGUCUUUAAGUCAGGGGUGAAAUCCUGGAGCUCAACUCCAGAACUGCCUUUGAUACUGAGGAUCUUGAGUUCGGGAGAGGUGAGUGGAACUGCGAGUGUAGAGGUGAAAUUCGUAGAUAUUCGCAAGAACACCAGUGGCGAAGGCGGCUCACUGGCCCGAUACUGACGCUGAAGCACGAAAGCGUGGGGAGCAAACAGGAUUAGAUACCCUGGUAGUCC